AUUAAUAAGCGGAGGAAAAGAAACCAACCGGGAUUCCCUGAGUAAGGGCGACUGAAACGGGAUGAGCCCAGCGCAUAACCUCGCGGUCCUAGUCGGCCGUCGAGGGGUGUUGCGUAUCGGCGGAUUCGUCCCGCUCUGGCCGCGCACCGUCUAAGUCAUUUGCUUGAGAGCAGUCCCAAGGAGGGUGGUAGGCCCGUGUGACGGUACCUGUGCAGGGUAGCAAUUGGUCAGAGCGGAGGGAUCUCGCUGGAGAGUCGGGUUGCUUAGUAACGCAGCCCUAAGCAGGUGGUAAACUCCAUCUAAGGCUAAAUACUACCACGAGUCCGAUAGCGAACAAGUACCGCGAGGGAAAGUUGAAAAGGACUUUGAAGAGAGAGUUCAAUAGUACGUGAAACCGUUAGAGCCUAAAAGCGGGUGGGAACUCGAAGGUCGAAAGAGGGGAUUCAGGCUGGCAGGGAGGAUGGCCGGCGGUUCGUGCGACGCUCGAAAUGUAUAGUAGACUCGGCUCGCCGUCCGCCAGCAGUUCUUAUCCCUGCCGUCUCACUUCCACCUCCGGUAGGUCGUCGCGACCCGUUGGUGGGAUCCCUGGAGCCGUUUAGCUUUGAGCUUGCUCUGGCGAGGCGGUUGUCGGCGGAAUCCCGGCGACGGUCGUGGAAGGGGGGGCGGUUUACUCGCCCCUCUCGCGACGAGAAACGAUCGGUGUCCCACCCGACCC
rnacentral:rRNA from 1 species